UUUCCAAUAUAUUAUACUAUGUAAAACUUCGAUAUAAAUAUAUAAUAAUAUAAUAUGGAGUCAGACAGGGUUGACGGACAUCGUCGCGACGGACAAUCGAACAAAAUCACAACAAACAUCACGACUUCAUUUGCGACUAGCGAGAAAUCAUUUUCUACGAAUCGGCUUUCGAAAACAAAUACAUAGGGUUCAGGAGUGAGAUCAAUUAUUGUACAUUUACAUAAAAUAUUUUCAAAAUUUUCAAUUAAAAUACCAGAAGAACUCUAAAAUCAAAAAUCAUAUGGAAAACAUGGGAGAAAACGGUAUGUAUAUGAAAGUAUUCUUUAAUAAUAAGAUAAUAUUAAUUGUUAAAUAUACACGCAGAAAAAGUUUAUAAAUUAUGCUUUUUUUGUAAGAUAUAAUGAUAUAAUUUCAUUAAAUAUGCAAAUAUUUGCAGUCAAACUUAUAUUAGUUUUUAGUCUAACUAAUAACUAUUUAAUUUUAUGUCAUUUAAAAAAAAAAAGUUACAUCUAGCUUAUAAUAUUUUUUAACUAUCACAAACAAAAUAUUAUAUGCAGUUGUAAAAUGUAGGUACAUCGAAUAUGCGAGUACAUCGAACUUUAAUUUGAAACUGUGAAAGUGACUUUUAGGUUCUUAAAUUUUUUUAGUCACAAUGUAUUGGAAAAUUUUUUAAAAAUUGUAUUUCAUUGUUAAAAAUAUGAUUUUUACUAUCAAUGUCUUGAUAUUUUUUUCUCCCCAUCUAAAUGAUAGGUAUUGAUAGGUUCUUCUAUAAAUAGAGGAAAUUUUUUAAUCCCUUAUCGAACACAAGCAUCUAACAUACACACAUACACACAUAUAGACGUCACUGUUACGCGAGAUAUGUUGGAACUGAAGUGAUCAUAUUGAUAUUAGCUUUGAGAUGUUU